GAUGAACGCUGGCGGUAUGCUUAACACAUGCAAGUCGAACGGACUCUUCGGAGUUAGUGGCGGCAGGGUGAGUAACGCGUGAGAAUCUGGCUUUGGGUUCGGGACAACCACUGGAAACGGUGGCUAAUACCGGAUGUGCCGAGAGGUAAAAGAGAAAUUGCCUGAAGAUGAGCUCGCGUCUGAUUAGCUAGUUGGUGAGGUAAAGGCUCACCAAGGCAGCGAUCAGUAGCUGGUCUGAGAGGAUGACCAGCCACACUGGGACUGAGACACGGCCCAGACUCCUACGGGAGGCAGCAGUGGGGAAUGUUCCGCAAUGGGCGAAAGCCUGACGGAGCAAUACCGCGUGAGGGAAGAAGGCUCUUGGGUUGUAAACCUCUUUUCUUAGGGAAGAACAAAAUGACGGUACCUAAGGAAUCAGCAUCGGCUAAGUCCGUG
rnacentral:rRNA from 1 species